CGGCGGACGGGUGAGUAACGCGUGGGUAACCUGCCUCAUACAGGGGGAUAACAGUUGGAAACGGCUGCUAAUACCGCAUAAGCGCACAGUACCGCAUGGUACCGUGUGAGAAACUCCGGUGGUAUGAGAUGGACCCGCGUCUGAUUAGCUAGUUGGUGGGGUAACGGCCUACCAAGGCGACGAUCAGUAGCCGACCUGAGAGGGUGACCGGCCACAUUGGGACUGAGACACGGCCCAA
rnacentral:rRNA from 1 species